UACGUAGGGUGCAAGCGUGUCCGGAAUUAUUGGGCGUAAAGAGCUCGUAGGCGGUUUGUCGCGUCUGCUGUGAAAACCCGAGGCUCAACCUCGGGCCUGCAGUGGGUACGGGCAGACUAGAGUGCGGUAGGGGAGAUUGGAAUUCCUGGUGUAGCGGUGGAAUGCGCAGAUAUCAGGAGGAACACCAAUGGCGAAGGCAGAUCUCUGGGCCGUAACUGACGCUGAGGAGCGAAAGCAUGGGGAGCGAACAGG
rnacentral:rRNA from 1 species